AAGAAUUAAGAUGCAUUAUGUGCAGGUACCAACACUUCACGAUCAUUGUAAUUAUUAUGUAUUGCAGACAUGUACUAACAAAAUCUUGAAAAAAUUUUAAAAAGAAAAAUAUGGCGAAAGUUACAUAAAGAAAAUGAGGAAUCCUCUCAAAAAGAAACAGGCUAACACUGAGGAUUGGAAAUUUAUGGCCAACAACUGUUUCUCAAAACAAUGGAAGCUAUUGUUCUCACGGAACUAACCCCAGAGUGAUUCCCACAGCAAAUGGUAUGUUGUUCUUACUAACUUGAUGGGAGAUUUUUCACAAAAGGAAAAAUAGAAAUGAACUAGAAUAAACAUCUGAAUGUUCCAUAAUAUCAUCUACUUCUGAAGUUAAUUUAAUAAAAAAUUGCUUUAUAACUGAGGAAAGUAAAAAUAUUUCAUAAAAAAUAAAAGCUUAUGCAUUCAUCUUGUGGCUGUUAUAUAUCAUAACUUCUGACAGACCUG
rnacentral:lncRNA from 1 species